GUCUCUGUAGCGCAAUGGACAGCGCGCGCGCGUUGGACUUCUAAUGCAAAGGUCGUGGGUACGAAUCUCACCUGGGAUG